AGCGAACGCUGGCGGCAGGCCUAACACAUGCAAGUCGAACGAACCUUUCGGGGUUAGUGGCGGACGGGUGAGUAACACGUGGGAACGUGCCUUUAGGUUCGGAAUAACUCAGGGAAACUGGUGUUAAUACCGAAUGGGCCCUUCGGGGGAAAGAUUAAUCGCCUUUAGAGCGGCCCGCGUCUGAUUAGCUAGUUGGUUGAGGUAAUGGCUCACCAAGGCGACGAUCAGUAGCUGGUCUGAGAGGAUGAUCAGCCACAUUGGGACUGAGACACGGCCCAAACUCCUACGGGAGGCAGCAGUGGGGAAUCUUGCGCAAUGGGCGAAAGCCUGACGCAGCCAUGCCGCGUGAAUGAUGAAGGUCUUAGGAUUGUAAAAUUCUUUCACCGGGGACGAUAAUGACGGUACCCGGAGAAGAAGCCCCGGCUAACUUCGUG
rnacentral:rRNA from 1 species